rnacentral:rRNA from 1 species
AAUAUUGCGCAAUGGAGGAAACUCUGACGCAGCGACGCCGCGUGAGCGAUGAAGGUCUUCGGAUCGUAAAGCUCUGUCCUUGGGGAAGAAGAUCGAAAGAUUUGACGGUCCCCGAGGAGGAACCCCCGGCUAACUACGUGCCCGCAGUCGCGGUAAUACGCACGGGGCAAGCGUUGUCCGGAAUUAUUGAGCGUAAAGGGUGCGUAGGCGGCUUUUUAAGUCAGAUGUGAAAGACCACGGCUUAACCGUGGGGUUGCAUUUGAAACUGGAAGGCUUGAGUAUCGUAGAGGGUAGUGGAAUUCCCAGUGUAGCGGUGAAAUGCGUAGAUAUUGGGAGGAACACCAGUGGCGAAGGCGACUACCUGGACGAAAACUGACGCUGAGGCGCGAAAGCGUGGGGAGCAAACAG